rnacentral:rRNA from 1 species
AACGAACGCUGGCGGCAGGCCUAACACAUGCAAGUCGAACGGCAGCGAGAGAGAAGCUUGCUUCUCUUGUCGGCGAGUGGCGAACGGGUGAGUAAUACAUCGGAACGUACCCUGUAGUGGGGGAUAACUACUCGAAAGAGUAGCUAAUACCGCAUACAACCUGAGGGUAAAAGUGGGGGACCGCAAGGCCUCACGCUAUAGGAGCGGCCGAUGGAAGAUUAGCUAGUUGGUAGGGUAAAGGCCUACCAAGGCGACGAUCUUUAGCGGGGCUGGGAGGACAAUCCGCCACACUGGGACUGAGACACGGCCCAGACUCCGACGGGAGGCAGCAGUGGGGAAUUUUGGACAAUGGGCGGAAGCCUGGUCCAGCAAUGCCGCGUGAGUGAAGAAGGCCUUCGGGUUGUAAAGCUCUUUUGUUUGGGAAGAAAUCCUAACGGAUAAUACCUGUUGGGGAUGACGGUACCAAAAGAAUAAGCACCGGCUAACUACGUGCCAGCAGCCGCAGUAACAC